CAGUCGCCGCGGUAAUACAGAGGGUGCAAGCGUUAAUCGGAAUUACUGGGCGUAAAGCGCGCGUAGGUGGUUUGUUAAGUUGGAUGUGAAAUCCCCGGGAUCAACCUGGGAACUGCAUCCAAAACUGGCAAGCUAGAGUAUGGUAGAGGGUGGUGGAAUUUCCUGUGUAGCGGUGAAAUGCGUAGAUAUAGGAAGGAACACCAGUGGCGAAGGCGACCACCUGGACUGAUACUGACACUGAGGUGCGAAAGCGUGGGGAGCAAACAGGAUUAGAUACCCGGGUAGUCCCUGUCUCUUAUAU
rnacentral:rRNA from 1 species